rnacentral:rRNA from 1 species
AAAGGGUGGGGAGCAAACAGGCUUAGAUACCCUGGUAGUCCACCCCGUAAACGUUGGGAACUAGUUGUGGGGUCCAUUCCACGGAUUCCGUGACGCAGCUAACGCAUUAAGUUCCCCGCCUGGGGAGUACGGCCGCAAGGCUAAAACUCAAAGGAAUUGACGGGGACCCGCACAAGCGGCGGAGCAUGCGGAUUAAUUCGAUGCAACGCGAAGAACCUUACCAAGGCUUGACAUAUACGAGAACGGGCCAGAAAUGGUCAACUCUUUGGACACUCGUAAACAGGUGGUGCAUGGUUGUCGUCAGCUCGUGUCGUGAGAUGUUGGGUUAAGUCCCGCAACGAGCGCAACCCUCGUUCUAUGUUGCCAGCACGUAAUGGUGGGAACUCAUGGGAUACUGCCGGGGUCAACUCGGAGGAAGGUGGGGAUGACGUCAAAUCAUCAUGCCCCUUAUGUCUUGGGCUUCACGCAUGCUACAAUGGCCGGUACAAAGGGCUGCAAUACCGCGAGGUGGAGCGAAUCCCAAAAAGCCGGUCCCAGUUCGGAUUGAGGUCUGCAACUCGACCUCAUGAAGUCGGAGUCGCUAGUAAUCGCAGAUCAGCAACGCUGCGGUGAAUACGUUCCCGGGUCUUGUACACACCGCCCGUCAAGUCAUGAAAGUCGGUAACACCUGAAGCCGGUGGCCUAACCUUUUGGAGGAGCCGUCGA